UACGGGGGGGGCAAGCGUUGUUCGGAAUUACUGGGCGUAAAGGGCUCGUAGGCGGCCAACUAAGUCAGACGUGAAAUCCCCAGGCUCAACCUGGGAACUGCGUCUGAUACUGGAUGGCUUGAAUCCGGGAGAGGGAUGCAGAAUUCCAGGUGUAGCGGUGAAAUGCGUAGAUAUCUGGAGGAAUACCGGUGGCGAAGGCGGCAUCCUGGACCGGCAUUGACGCUGAGGCGCGAAAGCGUGGGGAGCAAACAGG
rnacentral:rRNA from 1 species